rnacentral:rRNA from 1 species
UACGUAGGGGGCAAGCGUUGUCCGGAUUUAUUGGGCGUAAAGAGCGUGUAGGCGGCCUGACAGGUCUGCUGUGAAAACUCGAGGCUCAACCUCGAGAUGUCGGCGGAAACCGUCUGGCUAGAGUCCGGAAGAGGAGAGUGGAAUUCCUGGUGUAGCGGUGAAAUGCGCAGAUAUCAGGAGGAACACCGAUGGCGAAGGCAGGUCUCUGGGCCAUAACUGACGCUGAGAAGCGAAAGCAUGGGGAGCGAACAGG